GGUUGAGCAGUUGCAGGCUGAACUGGCAGCAGCAGUGAGAGGCAAUGACAUCCUCAAAUGUGAAGUCCAUAAUGCAAUGGACAACCUCUCCUGUGUCAGCCACAAGUUGAAAGAUUUAGAACUUCAGAUGCAAAAGAAGGAUGAUAGUAUAAGUCGGCUUCAAAAUGACCUCCAAGAAUCUAUGAAGGAGCUAGCAAUCAUAAGGGGCAUUCUACCCAAAGUUUCUGAGGAGAGAGAUUUGAUAUGGGAGGAAGUGAAG
rnacentral:misc_RNA from 1 species